AAACUGCUGUUCAGUCUGACAAAUCUAUCUCAUUCUCUUUCCAUCUGCAGUGCUGUGGCAGGUCUGGCAUAAACCUGGUGGUGAAUAAACGAUUUUUAUUUUUAACUGAAAAAGAGAUAUAUCGACGCUAGCGAUCGCAGGAUUUUUCAAGGUUCUUUUAAUUUUGUAUGCUAAAGAGAUAUUAUGAUGGAAUCUAGUUUCAAUUGUCAUCAGUGUGAAGACACGUCAUGCACACUAUCACUAACGGAAAUGCCGCAUUGCACGACUGCAAUGAACUGUUUCAUAUCUGUCAUUCGAAAAUCCAAGGACAUUAUACAUUAUACUCGCGGAUGUGUUAUUUCACCGCAGCACAAUCGAGAUAUUUGUAAUGACGUAUCACAAGCGGAACACGCCGAUUUUAGUUAUAGAUGCUGCAAUGAAGAAUUCUGUAAUAACGGCUCGUUUCCUAUGAUAGAUCCUUAUACAGAGAGUCAAUUUGACUGGAGGUAUAUAAUAUUGUGUAUAACGUUAUUCGUAAUCAUCAUAGUUGCUGCAGUAGUCACGGUAUCACUUUACACAUUAUACAAGGUUUAUAAACGCUUUGGUAGACAAGAACAGCAAAUACGAGAGGAAAUGAUAGAGAUGAAUACAAUGCGACGUCGAAGCAGCGUAUAAAAAUCGACGUCAGAGCCGUCGAAGCUCACGCCCAACGCUGACGCUUUGAAAUCACUCCCGUCAAUGAUAGCACCUUUCAGCUAAUUUCACAAAAUACCAGAAUGACACAUCAAUUAAAAUUUGACGAGCAGUUUGAAUCAGACAAUUCCGUACAUUAUUGAUUGAUUGUCCAUAAUCAGAGGUUUUCAAUUCUCUAUCAUUGGCAUAUGGAUUUAGUAUAGUGGAAAAGGCAACCUUAUUGUACCAUUUAAAUUUUCAAUUUGAAUGACGUUUGACUUUUCAGAUAUUGAUUUGUUUGAUUUUUAGAUAUAGUUCCUCAGGUUUUCUGAUUCAAGCAUUUUAGCAAACGAAUGUAUCUAUGCCUUGUCUGAUUCGAUAAGUUAAGAAAACACUUUCGACACCUUAGAAGAUUUUAUCAUUUACUUAAAUUUAAUAACGAUCUAAUUGGAAAAUAAUUUUUACGAAAAUUAUUGUUGUGUUAAAAUAUUUUUUGAAGACGCUUUUCUUUUAUUUUUAUUUUUUCGAUAAACUGGUACAUGACAAAAUAGCCACGGUUUGAAUUAUGUAAAACUAAAAUGCAUAUUUUUAUUUAUUAUUUCGUCUAUCAUUGUCGUCUAAAUAGUGAAGAAUAUUCUGCAGUAAUCUAGAAAAAAAAUAUCAAGAUUUUAUUGAUAAAUAUAAGAAUCAUAUUCAUAGGUAUAUUCUCUAAUGAUCUAAAUUUAAUUGAUUCGACAUUGUGACUUGCAUAAAUCGUUGUGUUAAGUGAUCUAUUUUAUAAUUAAUUUCAAUAACGGCCUCUUGAAUACCUAUAAUUGUUAGUCAACGUUAAGUUCAAAUGAAUAUUUAUUUGUUUAGAUUCAAAGUGAUAAUAAUUUAAUAAUAAAAUAAAUAAUCAAU